CAUGACACAGUUAACAGAGGUCGGGGUAUGCGUAUACGAUAGCUUACCGGGUUUAAGCGAGGUUAGUUGGAACUAAACUUCAAAGAUUGCGUCGUUUCUUGGGUUUUCUAGAAGGAACAAGGGAUAUUUUCACCCGAUGACGAAGGUUAAAGGGCGAUAACAAGUACAUCUUUCGUUGCAGAAUAUGUAAUUAGGAAUUUAAAAUUAGCGGAGGACUGAGAUACCAUGCCCUAUUCAUGGACCGCAUGAGUUUAAAUAUAGAAUAUGCAAGAAAAAGUCCUUCAACAGAGCCGGACUAAACAGCAAAUAAAACAAACGAACCAAACAAAAAAUGUACAGCUGAAGUAUUUAGUUGUUUUUUUGUUUUUGUUUUAUUGUAUUGUUUUUACAUAGACAAGUCUGACAUAUAAUUGCUAUGAAUGCUUCUUAAUUACACGUUUUGGUCCGUUUGUGUCAUGAUGCUAGUCUCUCACCUUUUGUAUGAAAAUAAACCAUUAUCUGCGUUA